UUAUAAUUAUAUUUCAUUACAAGAAACCUGCUUGUUUCACUUUUAAAAACUGACUUUUGAACAUUGUGUUGUUGAAUUCUAGAUAUUUAAUUUUAUAAAUUAGUAAUGUAAUCAUUUAAAUUUUUAAAGGUCCUUUUUUACGAACACUUAAUGAAACUUUAGGAAAUUUGUAUGGACCAAAAGAGGAUGAGAAUUUCGAUGGAACAGAUAAUCGUUUUCGUAGUAGUAGUUAUUGUGCAGGAGCAACUGCUUUACAAGGAAAACAAAAAGAGAGAUAUGCUGAACUUGUUAAUGAUAUUGAAAUUGAUGAGAGCAGAAUUGUUGUUUUACAGCUAAGGCUUGUUGCCAGGACAGAUGAUUCAAGUCAACCUGAAACAGAUGAACCUAUAAAACCUUUAAUAACAAAAAGACCACCUCCGUUACCUCUUUAAAUCUAUCAAAUUGUUUUGUUUAUUGAAAUUUUAAAAUUUAUUUUUCAAAAAGAAUUUGAAAACUUCUAUGUAUAAAUUUAUGUUUAAAUAUAUUUUUAAUCAUAUGCUAAAUAUUUAAUAAAUUAUUAUUUAAUUAAAAAUAUAUAUUAAAUGUUCUUUGUUAAGAUGAUUCAGAUUGAUAUUAAUUGAAUAUAUCAAACAUCAUUGCUUAAAGAGCUUAAAUGUCUGUACCUGCUCAUUAUGGGUUAUUCUCUGCAAAUCCAUUACAGGUUUGACUGCCCCAUUGAGAGUUGGUGGAACCCAUAAUAAGUUUGCUAAAGAAAAAGGCCCUCUUAGUGCCCACAGGACAGAGAGUUAAAAGUUUAUAUAUUGGAGGUAUUGAUAUACAGUAUUUUAAAAGUAAAAUACUGAAACAUUAAAUUAUUAAAUUAUUAAAAUUGCAUUAUUUUAGUAUGUUUUCAAUAGUAUCUGCAUUUUUUUACAGUUUAUAUAUUACAUAUUUAAUGAUUUUCUGUGUAAAACACCAAUUUUUUUCUAACUAUAAAGUCAAGAACUCUUGUAACAUUAAAGAUGUGAGUGUAAAAGUAUGUACUACAUUUUUAAUGUUAAACAACCAAUCACAUCGUCACAAAGUCGGGCUGCAAUUUUUAAUCAUAUUUUUAAUUUAUUUAAUUAAAAAUAUAUGCUCUCCACCUUACCUCAAAUUAGCAGUGGUUUUCCCCUGUACAUCAUACUUUUCCUUUAACAAUAAGCUAUAUCCGCCCCAUCCCUCACCACCCGCCAGCUCAAUUGUGUCUGAACCCAUAAUGAACUUGCUAAAUGAGACCCUCUUAGUGCCCAUAGGGCAGAAAGAGUAAAAAAAAUCAAACAAAAAAAA